rnacentral:rRNA from 1 species
ACGGGUGAGUAAUACAUCGGAACGUGCCCAAGAGUGGGGGAUAACGGAGCGAAAGCUUUGCUAAUACCGCAUACGAUCUACGGAUGAAAGCAGGGGACCGCAAGGCCUUGCGCUCAUGGAGCGGCCGAUGGCAGAUUAGGUAGUUGGUGGGAUAAAAGCUUACCAAGCCGACGAUCUGUAGCUGGUCUGAGAGGACGACCAGCCACACUGGGACUGAGACACGGCCCAGACUCCUACGGGAGGCAGCAGUGGGGAAUUUUGGACAAUGGGCGCAAGCCUGAUCCAGCCAUGCCGCGUGCAGGAUGAAGGCCUUCGGGUUGUAAACUGCUUUUGUACGGAACGAAAAGCCUCUUUCUAAUAAAGAGGGGUCAUGACGGUACCGUAAGAAUAAGCACCGGCUAACUACGUGCCAGCAGCCGCGGUAAUACGUAGGGUGCGAGCGUUAAUCGGAAUUACUGGGCGUAAAGCGUGCGCAGGCGGUAAUGUAAGACAGAUGUGAAAUCCCCGGGCUCAACCUGGGAACUGCAUUUGUGACUGCAUUGCUGGAGUGCGGCAGAGGGGGAUGGAAUUCCGCGUGUAGCAGUG